rnacentral:rRNA from 1 species
AGUGAACGCUGGCGGUAGGCCUAACACAUGCAAGUCGAACGGCAGCACAGGAGAGCUUGCUCUCUGGGUGGCGAGUGGCGGACGGGUGAGGAAUACAUCGGAAUCUACUUUUUCGUGGGGGAUAACGUAGGGACACUUACGCUAAUACCGCAUACGACCUACGGGUGAAAGCAGGGGAUCUUCGGACCUUGCGCGAUUGAAUGAGCCGAUGUCGGAUUAGCUAGUUGGCGGGGUAAAGGCCCACCAAGGCGCAGAUCCGUAGCUGGUCGGAGAGGAUGAUCAGCCACACUGGAACUGAGCCACGGUCCAGACUCCUACGGGAGGCAGCAGUGGGCAAUAUUGGGCAAUGGGCGCAAGCCUGAUCCAGCCAUACCGCGUGGGUGAAGAAGGCCUUCGGGUUGUAAAGCCCUUUUGUUGGGAAAGAAAUCCAGCUGGUUAAUACCCGGUUGGGAUGACGGUACCCAAAGAAUAAGCACCGGCUAACUUCGUGCCAGCCGCCGCAGUAA